UCCAUUUGUACAUUAUUUUAUUUUUAGAGUAUUUUCACAUACUUGCUUUUUUGUUGUUGCUGUUAACUUCCCACAGUAUCACACGGCUGCUUUCAUUUGAGCCUCCCCACAUCCCUGUGGGUGAAGAUUGGCAGACUUAGCUUCAUUUGUCAUAUUGUCUGAGGCUUAGAAGGACUGAAUGGCUUGGCCAAGAUGACAAGGCAGUAAAAAGCGGGGACUUGAACCUGGUGGUCCUGCUCUCGGUUCAUUUGUAUUUCUCUUCAUGCUCAUCCCUGAACACCACGGGAAUGGCAGGAGACCCUCUCCCAGAAGGACACCUAAGAAGGAUUUGGGGCCUCUGUCAGUAACAAAUAAAAGCUGACCUCGGACAAGAAGAUCUUCAGUCUGUUGGCCUGUUGGCUUCCUCUGCCUCGUGCCAUUUGUGGGUUCCUUUCAGUCCAAAUAUCUAUCAGUAAGGUCCUGGUUGAAUAGACAAAUCCAUCCAUACAACGAAGUCGAAGGCCACUUAACAAAAUGUGGCUCCUCUUGUAGGAACUGAUCUGAAAACAUCUGGAAGAUAUAGUAAAUGAAAAAAUCAAGAUGCAGAACAGUGUACGUGGUAUACUUACUUUUGUGGAAAAAUGCAGGGAAGGGAAUGAAAUGCAGAUUUAAAUGUGCUUUUUAUUUGCAUAAAGGAACACUGGACAAUUAUAUUGAAACCAAUGAAAGCGGUUGGCAACAUUGAAGAGACGGUAUGAGUGAAAUUUCUCAGUUUAUAUCUUAUGUCAUUUCAAUUUUUUAGAAACUUUUCGUUUUGAAAUAUAGAUUUGCAAGAAGUCACAAAAACAGUGCAGAGUACUCCUGUGUAUCCUUAACCCAGUUUUCUCCAAUGAUAAUAUAUUGCAUAACUAGUACAAUAUCAAGACCAGGAAAGUCGCAAUCUACAGAGCUCAUUUAGGUUUCCCCCUUUUACCUGCACACAUAUGUAUGUGUUUGUAGUUCUAAGCCAUUUUAUCUCAUGUGUAGAUUUGUAUGAGCGGCACCACGAUGCAAUCCAGAACUGUUCCCUCACCCUGGACAUCCCUGUGCUAAGUCUUCAUAGUCACAUCCAUCUUCUUCCUUCCUCCCCCAUCCCUACUCAUUCCUGUCCCCUGUUGAUCACCAAUCUGGGCUUCUCUAUAAUUUUGUCCUUUUGAGACUGUUACAUACAUGAAAUCACACGGUAUGUAACUUUUUGAGACUGGUUCUUUUUUUUUUUUUUGAGACAGAGUUUCACUCUUGUCGCCCAGGCUAGAAUACAAUGGCGCGAUCUCGGCUCAUUGCAACCUCUGCCUUCCGGGUUCAAGUAAUUCUCAUGCCUCAGCCUUCUGAGUGGGUGGGAUUACAGGCGCCUGCCACCACACCUGGCUAAUUUUGUAUUUUUAGUAGAGCUGGGGUUUCACCAUGUUGUCCAGGCUGGUCAUGAACUCCUGACCUCAGGUGAUCUGCCCGCCUCGGCCUCCCAAAGCUGAGGUGGGCGGAUCACUUGAGGUCAGCAGAUUGAAUCCAGCCUGACUCACAUAGCGAAACCCUGUCUCUACUAAAAAUACAAAAAAUCGCCGGGCAUGGUGGCUCACGCAUGUAAUCCCAGCACUUUAGGAGGCCAAGGCAGGCAGAUCACCUGAGGUCAGGUGUUUGAAACCAGUCUGGCAAACAUGGUGAAACCCCAUCUCUACUAAAAAUACAAAAAUUAGCUGGGCGUGGUGGCAGGCACCUGUAAUUCCAGCUACUCUGGAGGCUGAGGCAGGAGAAUCUCUUAAACCUGGGAGGCAGAGGUUGCAGUGAGCCGAGACCAUUGCACUCCAGCCUGGGCAACAAGAGCGAGACUCUGUCUCAAAAAAAUACAAAAAAUCAUCUGGGCUUGGUGGUGAACGCCUGUAAUCCCAGCUACUCAGGAGGCUAAACCACAAGAAUCACUUGAACCUGGGAGGCAGAGGUUGCAGUGAGCAAACUCCACUCCACGUCACUGCACUCCAGCCUGGGUAACAGAGCGAGGCUCUGUCUCAAAAACAACAACUACAACAAAAAAGAUAGGACAGUAGAUUUUAUUAGACCCGGAAGCAUACUGGAGGCUUUUUCAUUUCUGCAUUCCCUGACAGUGCUCCAUAGAGUAGGUCUUCAAAGGUAGAUAGUAAUCUCAUUACCCUGGACUGUUCUCAUAAUGUAACAGAUCACUAACACUGAAUCUUAAAAAUAAAGUUCUUUUAGUAAUUUUAAUCUUACGUGUUUUAUACCUAUUCUUAUACUUUACAGCUUGCCCCAAAUAUAUUAGUUUAAAUCAGAUGCAACUAGAAAUAUACAUUCUCGUUAUGUUCUUUUUGCUAAUUGUCCUCUUGCUUUUUAGUAGUGAAUUCUUAUGGAACCUG
rnacentral:sRNA from 1 species